rnacentral:rRNA from 1 species
CUACGGGUCGCUGCAGUGAGGAAUAUUGCACAAUGGGGGGAACCCUGAUGCAGCAACGCCGCGUGGAGGAUGACGCAUUUCGGUGUGUAAACUCCUUUUAUAUGUCAAGAAAAUGACGGUAGCAUAUGAAUAAGCACCGGCUAACUCCGUGCCAGCAGCCGCGGUAAUACGGAGGGUGCAAGCGUUACUCGGAAUCACUGGGCGUAAAAGACGCGUAGGCGGGUUGGAAAGUCAGGUGUGAAAUCCUACAGCUUAACUGUAGAACUGCACUUGAAACUUCUAAUCUAGAGUAUGGGAGGGGGAGAUGGAAUUAGUGGUGUAGGGGUAAAAUCCGUAGAUAUCACUAGGAAUACCUAAAGCGAAGGCGAUCUCCUGGAACAUUACUGACGCUGAGGCGCGAAAGCGUGGGGAGCAAACAGGAUUAGAUACCCCAGUAGUC